rnacentral:rRNA from 1 species
AACGAACGCUGGCGGCAUGCCUAACACAUGCAAGUCGAACGAAGCCUUCGGGCUUAGUGGCGCACGGGUGCGUAACGCGUGGGAAUCUGCCCUUGGGUUCGGAAUAACAGUUAGAAAUGACUGCUAAUUCCGGAUGAUGUCUUCGGACCAAAGAUUUAUCGCCCAAGGAUGAGCCCGCGUAGGAUUAGGUAGUUGGUGGGGUAAUGGCCCACCAAGCCGACGAUCCUUAGCUGGUCUGAGAGGAUGACCAGCCACACUGGGACUGAGACACGGCCCAGACUCCUACGGGAGGCAGCAGUGGGGAAUAUUGGACAAUGGGCGAAAGCCUGAUCCAGCAAUGCCGCGUGAGUGAUGAAGGCCUUAGGGUUGUAAAGCUCUUUUACCAGGGAUGAUAAUGACAGUACCUGGAGAAUAAGCUCCGGCUAACUCCGUGCCAGCAGCCGCCGUAACAC